CUGUGAAGAUUCUCGUUGUCCUGAUUUGUGAUAUCAGGUAGGCUAAACAUCGCUAUAUAGAACAUGCUGUGUCCCCAGACUAGUUUCCUCCUAGGGCUGGUUUUUAGAAUGCUGAUGAUAAAC
rnacentral:snoRNA from 1 species